ensembl:lncRNA
UAGACCGCAGAUGCUGGCUGAGCACAUCACCUGUCAAACAGACUGUCACAAAGCGAUUUUAUGUUUUCUUUCCUGAAACUCUCAGUGUCUUCCCACUGGCAUCAGGGGCGAGGCUUCAGUCUUGCUGCCUGUUUUGCAUCUUAUCUCUUACCUUUAAUCUUUCUUUCAGGAAAGGAAUCUUACUUCACUUUGUAUUCUCCACCUCACCUCACACAGUGCUAAAUGGUACUACUUAUUAAUACUCACUUGUUUAAAUGAAAGAAAAUGGGUGAGCCACAGGAAAAGGUAUUCUUAACCAAGAAAUGCUCCUUAGUUCCAUAAGCCUGAUAAAAGGUUUCCCUUCAUGUGUAAGAAUGUUGCAGUUAAAAUUAAGUAGGAGCAAUGAAAAAACAAGGACAAGGGCUGCAAAUGAUACAACAUUUGUGCUUUCUGUGACUUAUUUAACUUAUUUUGAUAUUUAAUGUUAUUAUGUUUUGAAUCUGUAGUGUUAUCUACAUUUAUAUAAUUUGUAUUUUGAUCUUUGCAAUGACAUUGUUACACAUGAGGAAAUUGUGUCUCAGAGGAAAAAUUGGGGGUCUGAUAUUUGUUGUCUAGAGAACUUUUUGAACCUAAUUAUUUAUUUUUUAUGUUGUAAUUCCUAAUUCCUCAUAUGUACUUAUCUUGGCUCGCCAAACAAAUGAUGAGUUUCUUGAUCAGUACAAUGCAUUGCAUUUUAAAAAGUCCUUUAAAGAACCUAGUACAGUAAAAGUAAUAGAUAAUAUGAGGUCAUGGGCAGCACCUGAAUUGGUCUCUGUAGGGUUUACAUUGUUGCAAGUAUACCUGUAUCCUGAGCUAGAUUAUACAUCCUUUGAGAAUGAGAUAGACUGGUACUUUCCACCUCCUUUAAGUGAAUUCAAGUGACUAGAACAAAGCUGAAAAUACGAUGCCUUUACUAAAUGCUUCUUGACUGAGAACUGUAAGAACAUAAUUAGGUGUUGUCAUUGUUGUUACUAUCACUUGUUCUUUAAUUUAUGCAUCCAGAAGGACAUUUUUGAGGCCCUCUGUGUACGAGGCCCAUGAGAUACUGCUGUAGAGGAGAUACGUGAGAUCUUUAAUGAACCUUAAAAUUCAGUAGGAGUGAGGGAGAUAAUGGGAGAAGUAAGUUAAAAGUAAAAUUACAAAUUGUAUUAAAUGCUAUGAAGGAGAAUAUUGCAUGCCAAAGAAAUUAAAGGAAGAUAAAGGGAUAAAGAAGGCAGAGAGAGGAACUACCUUUGAGAGUCUAAAAAAGCCUUCCUCUUGGGACGGGAAUUGUCCCCUCAAAGCCCACUCCUUGAGCCUGAGUUGCACGAAGGAGUGGCUCUGCCAGCCUCUUCAACUUCUACCCACAUAACCAGCGCCCAUGAAAACACCCCAUUUGAAAAAUGGACAUGAAUCCAGCAUAAACAGGUAGGAAUUCCAGGCAAAAUGUGUAAGUGCUUGGCGAGACAAUGCAUGCAUUUUGAAAAGAAGGACUAUGAGAAAGAAGCUUGAAAGGCAGCAGGUAUGAUGUCUGAGUGAUUUGGAAAGUGAUUUUAUCCUGUGAAAUAGGUGGACUGUAUUAAAGGACUUACGUAAAGGGAGUGACAGAGUCUGGUUUAUGCGUCAAAAUAAAUUGAAGAGGAGGAAGCCUGGAGGCAAAUGACAGGAUCAGAGGUUGUCACAUUAAUGGAAGAUGAAGGUGGUCGUGGAGGUGUAGAGAAGGAGAUGGCUGGAGAACAAGAUGUCUGGGACCUGGUGACUGUGUAAUGAAGUCAUUCCUUGGGUUAUGACCUUGGCCUUGGUGACACUAAGGAACAUCGGAUCAUGAGCACGUUUACGGAAAGAAGAUGGUACAUUUUGAAAUAUCUGAGCCACCCAAGGAGAGCUGUGCAGUUGGGAAGCUUCAAGUGUGAUACAUGAAGCUCAGCAUGCUUUCUCAGGACUGAAGAUCCAGAUCUUGGAGUCCGUACUCCUCUGCUGUCAUCUUUCCCAUUCCUCUUCAAGAUAGGAAACACCAGAGCUGUUGACCUGUCUGAAUAGAAAGAAAGAAAAGCAAGGAAAUGGGGAGGAAUAAAAGAGCAGAACUUAAUAACUGAAAAUAUUAUCCAGAGACUUGGAGAUAUUUCUUUCACAAAAUAAAGUUAGCUAAAUACAGCAUAUUUUUGGUGGUUGGUUUUUUUUUUUUUUUGACAGUACAUUACAGAGAUAGAUCCCAAGUUGAUAAAUAUGUAUCUACCUAAUUGUAUAGUUGAGGUAGAGAUGUUUAGAACCCAUUAAUGUCUUACAUUCUCCUUCCUGGGCUGUAGGAAAACUACAGUUCUGUUCAGCAGGUCCAUGUGACACAUCAUGGCCAGUAGCCUGUAAGCAGAUGUUGACCAGUGUCGUUUCUAGGCGGAGCAAGUAAAAAGCUCCUGUGCUACUCUCUAGGUCUUUUUUUCCCCCUGAAAGCCAAGAACAGUGAUGUGGACAUAAAGAGAAUGAUGUCCUCAUGAGUCUGGGACCUGGAAUGACUCUGUAGUGCAAAAUCCCUGCCAACUUAUAAUGAAUGUAUAGCAUGAUCAAGAAAUAAACAUUUACUCUGCGUAUGGUAA